rnacentral:lncRNA from 1 species
GGGCGACUAGUGUAAUGAGAUAGCGAGGUGAGAACUGAGAAUUUAAGGUUUCAAUUAUAUAUGCACUAAACAAAAGAUAUAUUUACAGUUAUAUUUCAUAUAUGCAUCUUCGUCAAGACCGAGCAUAUUCUUGCAGCCUUUGCCAUCUGCCACAUGAAUAAUGUAAGAAAUGGUUAUUUUCACUUAAAACUAAUCCGUGCAAGUGUACAUUUCUCCACAAUACCUGGCUACCUGCGUUUGUUGAAGGCUGAAAAAUGCUUUAUGACCAUAUCCUGACCUAGUGUGGACAGGUUAGGAAAGGUUGACAGCGGCCUCUUUACAAAAGGAUGGUCCAACUGUAUAGCAGCUGUGGGCUUAACUUCUAAUAAUUUGAGGAUUAAAUCUUGGGCAUCUUAUGAACAAUAGAAGAGGAUCACGCCUGCCAAUCCUAAACAGCUUGCAACUGCCAUGGCAAAGGAGGAUAAGUCUCAUCCAAUUUCAAAUGUAAGUGAACGGAAUAUUAUUUGACAUUGACCAUUGAGACGGCAUUUCAUCUCAUGAAACUAGUGUAUUUUGAGAAAAGACCUAGUAGAUGUACAUUUAAGAACUUCAAUAGGAUAUCAGGACAAAAAAAAAAAAACAAUUGUAAAAUAUUAUCAGCUUUGUGGAUGAAUUUACUUUGAUAUUGCUUUGUAAAAUAUUAGGUAAAGAACAAUUGUAAGUUACGCCAGGUAUACAAACAGGCAGAAGACACCAAAGAAAAUAUCUGCAUCAAGAGAACUGUAAACGAGCCAAGUCUACUUGGGCUUUGGCUUGCCAGACUCAGGUUCAAGCUUGAGCAAAAUUUAAACUAGUCGAGUCGAAUUGAGCUUUAAAUGAGCUUGGACUUUCGUAUACGAACUUGGCACGUUUUCUAAACAAGGUGCUUGUGAAUCCUAUUCGCGUUCAAGCGAGUUGGACUGAACUUGAGCCCAGUUGACUUUUGAUUGUUCUUGUUUACAAUUUUCUCUAAAUUUCUCCAAUUAAUUAAUAAAAAUGUCUAAUAAAAUUAUAUUACAAAAAUAUAAACUAGAAAAAUUAGUUAUCAUACACAAUGAUAAAGUGCAUGAGGGUCGACUAGUUAAUUAAUAAUGCUAUAACUAACUAUUUAAUUAAUUUGAAGUAUAAAUGAGCCAAGCUUAAGCAAGACGGUCUCGAGACGGACAUACAUUUCGAGCUCGACUCGUAAAUUUAAAAGGAUAAAAGGGCUUGUUAGACCUUGCUUCGCUAGGCAAACUCGAAUUAAGUUGAGCUUAAAUGAGUUGGGCCGAUAUCAUGUUUCGCCUGUUUCGCCUACUCUAUGCACCAACAACAAAAGGCAACAAUAAAACUAAGCUUUCCUUGAAGUCAACUCAACAAUACCUUUUAUCUCAAAUUAGUUGAGGUGGUCUUAAAUUGAAUAUUGUGUGCAGGCAAAAAAGUAGAAGAUGAGAAGAAAACUAGAAAGAUAAAAUAAUAUAAAGUAAAUAAUAAAUAAAUAAUUCAAAAUAAAAGAAAAAUCAUAUAUAUAUAUAAAGAAAAGCUAAAAGCACCCAAAGUAUAAUCACACCAUGAUCCAAGGCUAGACUUCUUCAACAAUCGAUUUGAUGAUUUGAUGUUAUAAGAUACUUCUCUGACAUGAUUAUCACAGAACUAAUACAGUCCGAAUCAAAAUUGUACAUCUUAAAAAGAACACAGGCAAACCUCUGGAGCCAUCAAGAAUGCAGUCCCUUUGCACAAGUGAGUUUACAACAUCCAAUGUGGUUGC